UAGGGAAUCUUCCACAAUGGACGAAAGUCUGAUGGAGCAACGCCGCGUGAGUGAUGAAGGGUUUCGGCUCGUAAAACUCUGUUGUUGGAGAAGAACGGGUGUCAGAGUAACUGUUGACAUCGUGACGGUAUCCAACCAGAAAGCCACGGCUAACUACGUGCCAGCAGCCGCGGUAAUACGUAGGUGGCAAGCGUUGUCCGGAUUUAUUGGGCGUAAAGCGAGCGCAGGCGGUUUUUUAGGUCUGAUGUGAAAGCCUUCGGCUUAACCGGAGAAGUGCAUCGGAAACCGGGAGACUUGAGUGCAGAAGAGGACAGUGGAACUCCAUGUGUAGCGGUGAAAUGCGUAGAUAUAUGGAAGAACACCAGUGGCGAAGGCGGCUGUCUGGUCUGCAACUGACGCUGAGGCUCGAAAGCAUGGGUAGCGAACAGGAUUAGAUACCCUGGUAGUCCAUGCCGUAAACGAUGAGUGCUAAGUGUUGGAGGGUUUCCGCCCUUCAGUGCUGCAGUUAACGCAUUAAGCACUCCGCCUGGGGAGUACGACCGCAAGGUUGAAACUCU
rnacentral:rRNA from 1 species